rnacentral:rRNA from 1 species
UUUUAAAUGCGUUUAUUAAAUGCGUUCGUCUAAGAUUAUUAUUUAAGAUUAUUCUUGUAUAUAUAUUUCAAUAAUAAUAAUUCUUAAUAUAAAUUUUUAAACCACAAAUUAAGAUAUAUAGUAGCAUAGUAAUUUGUUAACUGAAUAUUAAAGUGUUCCAUAGAAAAUUUUUAAAUUACAACAAAAAAAAUAAAUUAUGAAUUAAAAUAAAAAUUUUAAUAAAAAUUAAAAAAUUAAAAUAGGGCAAGUCCUACUCUCCUUUACAAAGAGAACAUUGUUUUUAAUAUGUAAUUGUAUGUUUGAUUGGGGCAAUACUAUAUUUAUUUAUAUAGAAUAAGAACUAUAUUUUUUGAAAUAAUAAAAGGUUCGAGCAGGUUAACAAGCAUUAAUACUAAAUGUGUUUCAUCGUCUACUUAUUACCAUGAUUGAUUGUUCAUCAAAAUAGUAAUUCGUUAGUUGGGUUAAAAUCGUUGUAAAGCAGAUUUGUUUAUAUAUUUAAUUUUAAUAUAUAUAUAUAAUUAAUAUAAGUACGCAAGGAUUGAUUAUUAGUAUAUGUAUCUUUUGA